GAGGUCCAGCCUGCCCAGUGACUACGGGUUCAACGGCCGCGGUAUUUUGACCGUGCAAAGGUAGCGCAAUCACUUGUCUCUUAAAUAGAGACCUGUAUGAAUGGCUAGACGAGGGCUUAACUGUCUCCCCCUUCCAGUCAGUGAAAUUGAUCUAUCCGUGCAGAAGCGGGUAUAAUUAUACAAGACGAGAAGACCCUUUGGAGCUUAAGGUACAAAAUUCAGCCACGUUAAAUGACUCUACAAAAAGCAAGAACCUAGUGGCCAGUGAAGUUUUACCUUCGGUUGGGGCGACCACGGAGGAAAGAUAAGCCUCCGAGUGGACUGGGCUAAAUCCCCAAAGCCAAGAGAUACAUCUAUAAGCCGCAGAACAUCUGACCAAGAAUGAUCCGACUGAAAAGCCGAUCAACGAACCAAGUUACCCUAGGGAUAACAGCGCAAUCCUCUCCCAGAGUCCAUAUCGACGAGGGGGUUUACGACCUCGAUGUUGGAUCAGGACAUCCUAAUGGUGCAGCCGCUAUUAAGGGUUCGUUUGUUCAACGAUUAAAGUCC
rnacentral:rRNA from 1 species